rnacentral:rRNA from 1 species
CAAUAGCGUAUAUUAAAGUUGUUGCAGUUAAAAAGCUCGUAGUUGGAUUUCUGGUUGAAGCGACCGGUCGGGCGUUGAUUCGUCUGCACUGGAGUCGGUUUUGGCCAUCCUCUAGGAAAGUGCGUCUGGUAUUAAGUUAUCGGGCGUAUGAUCCUGGUCUUUUACUGUGAAAAAAUUAGAGUGUUUAAAGCAGGCCUUCGCCUUGAAUACAUUAGCAUGGAAUAAUAAGAUAGGACUUUGGUCUAUUUUGUUGGUUUGCAGACCGAAGUAAUGAUUAAUAGGGAUAGUUGGGGGUAUUUAUAUUCCGAUGUCAGAGGCGAAAUUCUUAGAUUUUCGGAAGAUAAACUUAUGCGAAAGCAUUUACCAAGGAUGUUUUCAUUA